rnacentral:lncRNA from 1 species
UGGGAAAUAGAAGUACACUGUUGAGGGGACAUAAACCUUAGCUCCAAUAUUACAUGAGAUAUUUCAUAAUUAAAUCCUAAGGGAAGUACUACUUCCUUUGCAUAAAGUCUAUAAAAACAUGAACUCAAUACCCUAACUUGCUUACAAGAGAUAAAAUAAAUAAGGAGUACUACUCCCUUACAUAUGCUGGAAUAUGACAUAAGGUAAGUUAAUUCUAUUUACCACUAAGCUCACCUUCAGCAUUGAGUCCUUGCUGUGAAUAGCCACGGUUCAAAAGGAAAUCUGCAACUUAGUUGCCUUCAUGAUGGAUAUGAAUGAUUCGGUAAGUAAAAUAAUUUAAGCAUUUUUUAAAAGAAGAUAAAACAUGCCUAAUAUUGUAUGAUCCAGUACUCUCUUCCAAUAUCAUAUUAACUACCACAUUAACAUCCAUCUCAAUCUAGAUUUAGAAAUAUUGUGGUCAUGGCAUAGCAUAAGUCCUUUUUGAAAUGCAAGCAAUUCGGCUUUCAAAGAAUUAUGGGGUCCAAAAUUUUCAGAAAAAGCAAAGAUUAGCAUACUUGUAUGGUCAUGUGCCACACCCCUACGACUUUUUGAAAUUGGUCUUUCGAG